CUGACUUUAGUUUAUUAGAAUAUCCCUCUGUUAAGGGGAAGGUUGAUGUUGGC
rnacentral:tRNA from 1 species